rnacentral:rRNA from 1 species
UACGUAGGGGGCAAGCGUUGUCCGGAAUCAUUGGGCGUAAAGAGCGUGUAGGCGGCCUGGUAAGUCCGCUGUGAAAGUCCAGGGCUCAACCCUGGAAUGCCGGUGGAAACUGUCAGGCUCGAGUCCGGAAGAGGCGAGUGGAAUUCCUGGUGUAGCGGUGAAAUGCGCAGACAUCAGGAGGAACACCAAUGGCGAAGGCAGCUCGCUGGGACGGUACUGACGCUGAGACGCGAAAGCGUGGGGAGCAAACAGG